AUGCUAAACAGACUUUCACUCAAAAAUAACCCACAAGAAGAAAUAGGUCGUGAUCCCACUGGGACCAACCUCUGGGGAGACACAGUCGACCCGCCAGCCACUGGUAUCUACCCAUUGGUAGCAGUGGCUAACCCUAGAUUUGGCCUAAUAAUAGGGCCAGAAGGACAGGAAGAGCAAGAUGACCGCCCAAGCAUACAUGUUUUUCGUCCGUGGUCACAAACGGACAGACAAAAUGUCCUGAAAGACGUUCCUCCACUGAAUGAAGGUUUUAUACCAUGGAGGGAUGCUGUAGAACUGAUCAGGAGGCAAUGGUAUUUAAACGGUCAUGAAAUGCUUCAAGUAAUGCAAGAUUUAUUAGGUUUAAAGAUGGGAACAGUUAGAGGAGAUUAUACCGGCUCAAACGCCGGGGGUGUAGCAUAUGCACCAGGAAGCACCGACCUAAUCAAUGACCUAACAAAUUUAUAUGAGAGAAUUAGAGUACGGUUGGCCCCAAGGGCUGACUAUGGUAAAAUAGGAGAGGUAAAGCAAAAAGAAGCCGAAACAGCUUCUGAUUUUCUGGACCGGCUACGCCCGGUUUUUAGACAGCAUUCAGGCCUAGAUUAUGAAGAAGCCCCAGAGAGACCAUAUCAACAGCACUUAAAGAACGCAUUCUUAAACGGUCUCCUUCCCCCAGUUAGAGCCCAUGUUGAAAAACACUGGGUAACAAUGAACACCGGUAACCUACCAGAUGCUCUGCAGUAUGCAGAACAUGCAACCCGAGUGCUAAAAAAGAAAGAGAACGGAGGUGUUUUCACUGUGGAUCCUGAAACAGGAUUCAUAGCAUUUGCUGGUGGAUACAGAGGACAGAGACAAGGACAGCAGAAAGGAAAGGGAAAGAAAAGUGGUGGUUAUAAGGGUUAUAAGGGAGACAGGGGACAAAGGGGUGAGAGAGACAAUCGCUGUUAUAUUUGCGGAAAAGACGGACAUUUUGCAAGGGACUGUAGGCACAAAAAGGAGGAUGACUCAGGAGAGGGUCAGAGUAAGUGA
rnacentral:lncRNA from 1 species